AGAGUUUGAUCAUGGCUCAGGAUGAACGCUAGCGGCAGGCCUAACACAUGCAAGUCGAGGGGUAGAGGAAGCUUGCUUCCUUGAGACCGGCGCACGGGUGCGUAACGCGUAUGCAAUCUGCCUUGUACUGAGGGAUAGCCCAGAGAAAUUUGGAUUAAUACCUCAUAGUAUUAUGGUGUGGCAUCACAUUAUAAUUAAAGUUCCAACGGUACAAGAUGAGCAUGCGUCCCAUUAGUUAGUUGGUAAGGUAACGGCUUACCAAGACGAUGAUGGGUAGGGGUCCUGAGAGGGAGAUCCCCCACACUGGUACUGAGACACGGACCAGACUCCUACGGGAGGCAGCAGUGAGGAAUAUUGGUCAAUGGACGCAAGUCUGAACCAGCCAUGCCGCGUGCAGGAUGAAGCAUCUAUGGUGUGUAAACUGCUUUUGUACGGGAAGAAACACUGCUACGUGUAGCAGCUUGACGGUACCGUAAGAAUAAGGAUCGGCUAACUCCGUGCCAGCAGCCGCGGUAAUACGGAGGAUCCAAGCGUUAUCCGGAAUCAUUGGGUUUAAAGGGUCCGUAGGCGGCUUUAUAAGUCAGUGGUGAAAGCCCAUCGCUUAACGAUGGAACGGCCAUUGAUACUGUAGAGCUUGAAUUACUUGGAAGUAACUAGAAUAUGUAGUGUAGCGGUGAAAUGCUUAGAUAUUACAUGGAAUACCAAUUGCGAAGGCAGGUUACUACGAGUGGAUUGACGCUGAUGGACGAAAGCGUGGGGAGCGAACAGGAUUAGAUACCCUGGUAGUCCACGCCGUAAACGAUGGAUACUAGCUGUUCGGAGCAAUCUGAGUGGCUAAGCGAAAGUGAUAAGUAUCCCACCUGGGGAGUACGCACGCAAGUGUGAAACUCAAAUGAAUUGACGG
rnacentral:rRNA from 1 species